rnacentral:lncRNA from 1 species
CCUUCAAUGUGUAGAAUAAAACCCAUUUUCUGUUCUACAUUCAAUGCAGGGACAAAUUUCUGGACUGUGAAAGGAUCCCAGGUAAAAGGCAGAGCGAAAAACAUCAGCAGCCUGGGGUUCCCAUCAUGGGUACAGCAGAUAGAUGCUGCAGUCCACAUUCACAAAACUGUACACACCCUGUUCUUCACCCAACACCAGUACUGGAGGUGAACUAUAAAGAUGCAAGAGCAGUCUUAAUAUCACUAAUAUCAGUCUCAAUGAAUGACACUGCAAAUGUUUUUUUUUCUUCUCAUAGGUAUAAUGAACACAACAAGACAAUGAGUGACUCCAGCCCACGUAACAUUUCUGACGACUUCCCAGAAAUAAAUGGACCCCUGAGUGCAGCAAUUUAUAAAGAUGGUUCUCUUCAUUUCUUUGUUGGCUCCGAUGUGUAUGAAUAUGACGUCAAACAAAAGGAAAUUAUUGGUGCAGAUAAGACAACUUCCUGGCUUGGAUGUUAACGGACAUUCGUUAGACUAAUAGUUCCUAAAUCCAAUUAUAUUUUAAAGGUGAAUCAUGCAGCAAAAGUGGCUGCAAAGAUGGCAUUAGUUAUGUUGUACUGAACUGUAUUUUUCAGCAUGGUGAGCUUGUGUUUUAUGUGGUGAAUGCAUCUACUGUUUAAUGUCUUUGGAACAUAUUUGAAAUGCAAAUGUAUCUAAAAAGUCAGAAUGUGGUUUCAAUUCAAAUUUAUGACUGUAUCAUUACUUCUAAAGAAAAAAAACGUGUUUGCCAUUCAGUUCUGCAGUUGCAUGACUGAGGUAAACCGAAGUAUUUAGCCUGGAUAUGCACUAAUCGGUGUGUGUGUUCAUGACUGUAAUAAAAUAAGUAAUAAAAGUACUUCUGGAAAUCCUUUUCAUGCAAAAAGAAUAUUUCAGAAUAUACCAAAUGAACAAAAUCUUAAAUCGUUUUCCAAAAAUCAUGACACAAUCAUAAUCCUCUUCACCCACUAAGAUUCCUGAUGCGAAACUAGACGUGAUCUCAUUUUGUGGACGACAAAAGCCACUAAAUGCCUGACGAUAAAUUCUUGUUUUGAGGGCCUGGGUCCCACGUGAUUUCUUACUGUCUUAAGGUAUGCAUGAGUUGUAUAAGACCCAG